GUAGCUCAGGGGUAGAGCAGUGGAUUGAAAAUCCUCGUGUCGGUGGUUCGAUUCCGCCC
rnacentral:tRNA from 1 species